UUAAGCGACUAAGCGUACACGGUGGAUGCCCUGGCAGUCAGAGGCGAUGAAGGACGUGCUAAUCUGCGAUAAGCGUCGGUAAGGUGAUAUGAACCGUUAUAACCGGCGAUUUCCGAAUGGGGAAACCCAGUGUGUUUCGACACACUAUCAUUAACUGAAUCCAUAGGUUAAUGAGGCGAACCGGGGGAACUGAAACAUCUAAGUACCCCGAGGAAAAGAAAUCAACCGAGAUUCCCCCAGUAGCGGCGAGCGAACGGGGAGCAGCCCAGAGCCUGAAUCAGUGUGUGUGUUAGUGGAAGCGUCUGGAAAGGCGCGCGAUACAGGGUGACAGCCCCGUACACAAAAAUGCACAUGCUGUGAGCUCGAUGAGUAGGGCGGGACACGUGGUAUCCUGUCUGAAUAUGGGGGGACCAUCCUCCAAGGCUAAAUACUCCUGACUGACCGAUAGUGAACCAGUACCGUGAGGGAAAGGCGAAAAGAACCCCGGCGAGGGGAGUGAAAAAGAACCUGAAACCGUGUACGUACAAGCAGUGGGAGCACGCUUAGGCGUGUGACUGCGUACCUUUUGUAUAAUGGGUCAGCGACUUAUAUUCUGUAGCAAGGUUAACCGAAUAGGGGAGCCGAAGGGAAACCGAGUCUUAACUGGGCGUUAAGUUGCAGGGUAUAGACCCGAAACCCGGUGAUCUAGCCAUGGGCAGGUUGAAGGUUGGGUAACACUAACUGGAGGACCGAACCGACUAAUGUUGAAAAAUUAGCGGAUGACUUGUGGCUGGGGGUGAAAGGCCAAUCAAACCGGGAGAUAGCUGGUUCUCCCCGAAAGCUAUUUAGGUAGCGCCUCGUGAAUUCAUCUCCGGGGGUAGAGCACUGUUUCGGCAAGGGGGUCAUCCCGACUUACCAACCCGAUGCAAACUGCGAAUACCGGAGAAUGUUAUCACGGGAGACACACGGCGGGUGCUAACGUCCGUCGUGAAGAGGGAAACAACCCAGACCGCCAGCUAAGGUCCCAAAGUCAUGGUUAAGUGGGAAACGAUGUGGGAAGGCCCAGACAGCCAGGAUGUUGGCUUAGAAGCAGCCAUCAUUUAAAGAAAGCGUAAUAGCUCACUGGUCGAGUCGGCCUGCGCGGAAGAUGUAACGGGGCUAAACCAUGCACCGAAGCUGCGGCAGCGACACUAUGUGUUGUUGGGUAGGGGAGCGUUCUGUAAGCCUGUGAAGGUGUAGUGUGAGGUAUGCUGGAGGUAUCAGAAGUGCGAAUGCUGACAUAAGUAACGAUAAAGCGGGUGAAAAGCCCGCUCGCCGGAAGACCAAGGGUUCCUGUCCAACGUUAAUCGGGGCAGGGUGAGUCGACCCCUAAGGCGAGGCCGAAAGGCGUAGUCGAUGGGAAACAGGUUAAUAUUCCUGUACUUGGUGUUACUGCGAAGGGGGGACGGAGAAGGCUAUGUUGGCCGGGCGACGGUUGUCCCGGUUUAAGCGUGUAGGCUGGUUUUCCAGGCAAAUCCGGAAAAUCAAGGCUGAGGCGUGAUGACGAGGCACUACGGUGCUGAAGCAACAAAUGCCCUGCUUCCAGGAAAAGCCUCUAAGCAUCAGGUAACAUCAAAUCGUACCCCAAACCGACACAGGUGGUCAGGUAGAGAAUACCAAGGCGCUUGAGAGAACUCGGGUGAAGGAACUAGGCAAAAUGGUGCCGUAACUUCGGGAGAAGGCACGCUGAUAUGUAGGUGAAGCGACUUGCUCGUGGAGCUGAAAUCAGUCGAAGAUACCAGCUGGCUGCAACUGUUUAUUAAAAACACAGCACUGUGCAAACACGAAAGUGGACGUAUACGGUGUGACGCCUGCCCGGUGCCGGAAGGUUAAUUGAUGGGGUCAGCGCAAGCGAAGCUCUUGAUCGAAGCCCCGGUAAACGGCGGCCGUAACUAUAACGGUCCUAAGGUAGCGAAAUUCCUUGUCGGGUAAGUUCCGACCUGCACGAAUGGCGUAAUGAUGGCCAGGCUGUCUCCACCCGAGACUCAGUGAAAUUGAACUCGCUGUGAAGAUGCAGUGUACCCGCGGCAAGACGGAAAGACCCCGUGAACCUUUACUAUAGCUUGACACUGAACAUUGAGCCUUGAUGUGUAGGAUAGGUGGGAGGCUUUGAAGUGUGGACGCCAGUCUGCAUGGAGCCGACCUUGAAAUACCACCCUUUAAUGUUUGAUGUUCUAACGUGGACCCGUGAUCCGGGUUGCGGACAGUGUCUGGUGGGUAGUUUGACUGGGGCGGUCUCCUCCUAAAGAGUAACGGAGGAGCACGAAGGUUGGCUAAUCCUGGUCGGACAUCAGGAGGUUAGUGCAAUGGCAUAAGCCAGCUUGACUGCGAGCGUGACGGCGCGAGCAGGUGCGAAAGCAGGUCAUAGUGAUCCGGUGGUUCUGAAUGGAAGGGCCAUCGCUCAACGGAUAAAAGGUACUCCGGGGAUAACAGGCUGAUACCGCCCAAGAGUUCAUAUCGACGGCGGUGUUUGGCACCUCGAUGUCGGCUCAUCACAUCCUGGGGCUGAAGUAGGUCCCAAGGGUAUGGCUGUUCGCCAUUUAAAGUGGUACGCGAGCUGGGUUUAGAACGUCGUGAGACAGUUCGGUCCCUAUCUGCCGUGGGCGCUGGAGAACUGAGGGGGGCUGCUCCUAGUACGAGAGGACCGGAGUGGACGCAUCACUGGUGUUCGGGUUGUCAUGCCAAUGGCACUGCCCGGUAGCUAAAUGCGGAAGAGAUAAGUGCUGAAAGCAUCUAAGCACGAAACUUGCCCCGAGAUGAGUUCUCCCUGACUCCUUGAGAGUCCUGAAGGAACGUUGAAGACGACGACGUUGAUAGGCCGGGUGUGUAAGCGCAGCGAUGCGUUGAGCUAACCGGUACUAAUGAACCGUGAGGCUUAACCUU
rnacentral:rRNA from 1 species